rnacentral:rRNA from 1 species
CCUACGGGGGGCAGCAGUGAGGAAUAUUGGUCAAUGGACGAGAGUCUGAACCAGCCAAGUAGCGUGAAGGAUGACUGCCCGAUGGGUUGUAAACUUCUUUUAUAAGGGAAGAAAACAGGGUAUGCAUACCCUCUUGUAUGUACCAUAUGAAUAAGGAUCGGAUAACUCCGUGCCAGCAGCCGCGGUAAUACGGAGGAGCCGAGCGUUAUCCGGAUUUAUUGGGUUUAAAGGGAGCGUAGGUGGUUUGUUAAGUCAGGUGUUCAAGGUAGCGGCUCCACCGUAAAAUUGCAGUUGAAACUGGCAGUCUUGAGUACAGUAGAGGUCGGCGGAAUUCGUGGUGUCGCGGUGAACUGCUUUGAUCUCACGAAGAACUCCGAUUGCGACGGCAGCUCACUGGACUGCAACUGACACUGCUGCUCGAAAGUGUGGGUAUCAAACCGGAUUAGAUACCCUGGUAGUC